rnacentral:rRNA from 1 species
UACAGGGGGGGCAAGCGUUGUUCGGAAUUACUGGGCGUAAAGGGUUCGUAGGUGGCCACUUAAGUCAGACGUGAAAUCCCUCAGCUUAACUGGGGAACUGCGUCUGAUACUGCGUGGCUUGAGUGCAGGAGAGGAAUGCGGAAUUCCAGGUGUAGCGGUGAAAUGCGUAGAUAUCUGGAGGAACACCGGUGGCGAAGGCGGUUCUCUGGGCCUUACCUGACGCUGAGGAGCGAAAGCGUGGGGAGCGAACAGG